rnacentral:rRNA from 1 species
UGGGAUGAUUAUAAGAAAGGUAUGCCUCAUACACGAAACUAUAUGAGCUAAUUUUUUAAAACUAUCAUGUAACAAAAUGAUAAGGUGAUAAAAAAUUAGGGGUGAAAGGCUUUACAAAAAUAGUGAUAUCUUGAUUUCUUUUAAAUGUACUAGUACACUCACAUAUUUAAAGCUACAAGGUUUUAAAUGCAAAUUAAAUUUGAUUUUAUACUUUGUGGGGCAUAAAAACCAACACAAUAAAAGAGCAAAUAUUUAUUUCGUAAGAUUGUCAUUUUUAAAAGAAUGUGUAGUAAUUUUUGUAACAUUAAUAAUGUCACCAUAAGUAUUCAAGAGGUGUCAAUAGUGAACUCGGCAAUUAAGUUUUCAACUGUUUAUCAAAAACAUAGCUGUGUGAUACUACACACAGUGUUUUCUGCUCAAUGAUCAUUAAAUAGCCGCAGUACCUUGACUGUGCAAAGGUAGCGUAAUCAUUUGUCUUUUAAUUGGAGUCACGUAUGAAGGAAUAUAUGGGGACUUUCUUUACCAUUGGCAAUAUGACAAAUUACUUAAUGAGUGAAAAUACUCAUAUUUAAAUAAUAGACGAGAAGACCCUAGAAAUUUAUAUUAAUUUUUUGUUGGGGCAACAUGGUAACAAGUAACUUACUAUAUGUAUAUGAAAUUAAAUAGAUAACUUAAAUUACUCUAGGGAUAACAGCAUAAUAUUUGAAUGUUUGUGACCUCGAUGUUGGAUUAGGGAGUUAUAGUUUAGAAGACUUUUAACCUUGC